CGGCGGACGGGUGAGUAACACGUGGAUAACCUACCUAUAAGACUGGGAUAACUUCGGGAAACCGGAGCUAAUACCGGAUAAUAUAUUGAACCGCGUGGUUCAAUAGUGAAAGACGGUUUUGCUGUCACUUAUAGAUGGAUCCGCGCCGCAUUAGCUAGUUGGUAAGGUAACGGCUUACCAAGGCGACGAUGCGUAGCCGACCUGAGAGGGUGAUCGGCCACACUGGAACUGAGACACGGUCCAG
rnacentral:rRNA from 1 species